AUGGAUGGUUGAUCAGAGAACGUACAUUUUAUAAAUGGUGUAUGUCAAUUGAUCCACAGUCCCU
rfam:Pan troglodytes isolate Yerkes chimp pedigree #C0471 (Clint) chromosome 14, whole genome shotgun sequence.